GGCUCACUCCCUUCCCGCCGCCAUGUUUCCGCUACGCAGGGAGGGAGCGGGGACGCGGGAAGGGGGCGGGCGGGCGGCUCCGGAGAGCGGCGGGCGGGCGGCGGGGGGCUCCACCGAGCUGGCGACGGCUGCUGAGGCGGGGGGCGGGGCGGGGGCUCCGGCCCCUCCCCCGCGCCUCCUGCCGCGAGGUGGCGCGCGCCUCGGCCGUUGGGCUCGCGCGGGGGGCGGGGCGGCGCGCUGGAGGAGGGAGGGCGCGCAGGGACCUGGCACGGUCCUACCCCGCCGGCCUGCAGACCCCGGUCCGGGGGCCCCGCUGGCGCCCGGGCCAGCUCUCGGGUAAUGUGAAAUGGUGAGACAUGAUUCCUCAGAGCUCUAUUAUCCCACAAGUCUAUGUCUACUAACCUCACAAGGAAAAUCCUUCACGAGGUUCCUCUCAGUUCCUGUGGCAGACAGGCUCUUGGGGAGGUCGCUCACCAUCCCACCUGCUGAUGUCAUGGUUUUCUGUAAUUCCUUCCAUUUGAGUGGUGGGGAGGUGGCUACAGUGGUGCUGUGACUUGCUUCUCACUGGUAGAAUGCAGCAAAGGUGAUGAGGCUUCGUUCUCUACAGUGAUCUUGUGAGAAGGAAACCAAGUUGCAGUAUUCUGCCGUUCAAAACUCUCCAAUGCUUCUGAUUCCAAUUCGAACAACGUCUGAAUUUCUCACCACAACUACGAGCGGUGCUGUGCUGGUAACAACCAGUUCUCAGAGGCAGAGAGCCCUGAUUUGUAGCAUUUGUUAAUUGUGGUGCAUAUUCCCUUCCAUGGCCGAUUUCAAGCUUCCAAGCUGAUAUCACUGAGCGCAGAGUUGAGAAGGGAUGCAAAGAAUCAAGACAGAGCCAGUCUGAGUUGACACCAACGCCCCACACAUAAGAUCUGGCCCCAGAUGCCUUCUCCAGACAACCUGCUUAUUCUGCCACCCCUGUUCACUCUGCUGGAUCACUGGCCUUCUUGCUGUUUCUCGAACAUAACAAGCACAUUUACACCUCAGGGCCUUGGUACUUGCUGUUCUCUGUUUGGGAUGCUCUUCUCCGGAAAUGUGCAUAACUUACUGUGCCACGUCAUUCAGGUCUCAGCUCAACUGUUACAGAGAGGCCUCCCCUGAGCAUUUUCCCUAAGACAUCCUACCCACUCCCAUCCUCCAUCACUUUUAUUCCUUGCUCUGCUUUAUUUUUUCUCCAAGGGCCUCAAUCCCUAUCUGAUAAUAAAUGAUAGAUAUUUAAACUUAUUUGUCUAGGUCAGGACUGGAUGGCCACCCCUAGAAUAGACCGGACUCGAAGAAAGCACUCAAUACAUAUUUGCUAGUUGAUAAAUGAGUAAUUAGUUUUCCUCU